ensembl:lncRNA
AAGUCUUCCACAACAGGGACUCAAUUAGAGAAGGCUUCUUUCAGCCGUUGCCACAGACAUCAUGUUUUGUGGAGAAGGUUCUUACCCGGUGUGUGCGUCUUGUACCCUUGGAGAUGCCAGGGACAAUAUGUAGGUGUUCUCAGAGAUUAAGUGUCAUCACUGGAAAACCUAUUGCUGUGGUUACAAUGAAUGGCCGAUAUGAUCUCAACUUGCCAGAGUUGAAAUGUGAGGUAUGCAAAGCCACAUGGCAUGCUGGAGUGGAUGAGCUGGUCCAUAAUGACUACUGGGCUGCUACUUCGCAAUUUUCUACAGUAUAUGGUACAGACAUGCUUUUUUCCUUUGAGGAGCUGAAGAUGGCAGCACCUGGGAUGUCCAGCCUAGCAUUUCUUAGAAUGCUAGAUAAACUAACUUUCCGCUUUGGCCUUGUAAGUAUUUGUAGUGAUAAUCUUAGAGUAACUCACAAUUACAAUAUGAGGUCAAGUACACAUGAACAUUUACACUGUUUAGGGAUGUG